CUCCCUUCCUCCUCAACUUCACGUAAAAAUAAAAACCAAAAACCCUCCCCUCUAUUCCAUUCACGUGAACGGUGAACCAGGACCUUGCUUCACCUCUGCCUCAGCCGCCACCGUCACUUCAGCCCGGACCACCAGUGUUCGUCGUCGCCGCAACACCGCAAGCCACGCCCUGUCGCCGCCAGCAACCGCCCCUUUGCCUCAGCCACCGUCGCUGCAACCUCGACCACCGCCGCCUUGCACGCCUUAGUUGCGCCAGCCACACCUUCUCCCGCCGCAAGCCACGCCCUGCCGUCGCCGUACCUAGUCACCGCCGGCAGUCUCUCUCCUCCCCUUCUUGUUUUGGCGGAGAAUUCUUUGUGGGCGACUUUUGAAUUCGUUAAAGUGGCCUAUCAGUUUGUUUACACAAGUCUCUAAAUAUCAAUAAGCAUUGUCCAUCUGCAGGUUUGAAGAUGUUGCAUCAUUGGGAUCGGGAAUAGAGAGCUUGUAUUUAGUUUUGAUUUGCUAAGUUGACUUGGGUUUGUUAAUUGGGACUUUAAACUUGUCGUAUUAUUUAUAUUCCCUUAUUUCUGUUGGAUGAUUUUUGGGAUUAAACCUGUAAUCGAUUAUUUACAAACCUAAAGUUAGUUUUAUGUUUUCCGCUGCAAAAUUCUGGAUAAGCCGUUACGUCUUCACACGGGCGAU